GAUGAACGCUAGCGGCAGGCUUAAUACAUGCAAGUCGAGGGGCAGCAGCUCUGUAGCAAUACAGAGGCUGGCGACCGGCAAACGGGUGCGGAACACGUACGCAACUUACCCAUAACUGGUGAAUAGCCCUCCGAAAGGAGGAUUAAUACAUCGUAACAUAAUGAUCCCGCAUGGGAUUAUUAUUAUAGCUCCGGCGGUUAUGGAUGGGCGUGCGGCNGAUUAGGUAGUUGGCGGAGUAAUAGCCCACCAAGCCUACGAUCAGGUAACUGGUGUGAGAGCACGACCAGUCACGACGGGCACUGAGACACGGGCCCGACUCCUACGGGAGGCAGCAGUAAGGAAUAUUGGUCAAUGGAACGCAAGUCUGAACCAGCCAUG
rnacentral:rRNA from 1 species